rnacentral:rRNA from 1 species
UUAAGCGACUAAGCGUACACGGUGGAUGCCCUGGCAGUCAGAGGCGAUGAAGGACGUGCUAAUCUGCGAUAAGCGUCGGUGAGGUGAUAUGAACCGUUAUAACCGGCGAUUUCCGAAUGGGGAAACCCAGUGUGUUUCGACACACUAUCAUUAACUGAAUCCAUAGGUUAAUGAGGCGAACCGGGGGAACUGAAACAUCUAAGUACCCCGAGGAAAAGAAAUCAACCGAGAUUCCCCCAGUAGCGGCGAGCGAACGGGGAGGAGCCCAGAGCCUGAAUCAGUGUGUGUGUUAGUGGAAGCGUCUGGAAAGGCGUGCGAUACAGGGUGACAGCCCCGUACACAAAAAUGCACAUAUUGUGAGCUCGAUGAGUAGGGCGGGACACGUGGUAUCCUGUCUGAAUAUGGGGGGACCAUCCUCCAAGGCUAAAUACUCCUGACUGACCGAUAGUGAACCAGUACCGUGAGGGAAAGGCGAAAAGAACCCCGGCGAGGGGAGUGAAAAAGAACCUGAAACCGUGUACGUACAAGCAGUGGGAGCCUCUUAAUGGGGUGACUGCGUACCUUUUGUAUAAUGGGUCAGCGACUUAUAUUCUGUAGCAAGGUUAACCGAAUAGGGGAGCCGAAGGGAAACCGAGUCUUAACUGGGCGUUAAGUUGCAGGGUAUAGACCCGAAACCCGGUGAUCUAGCCAUGGGCAGGUUGAAGGUUGGGUAACACUAACUGGAGGACCGAACCGACUAAUGUUGAAAAAUUAGCGGAUGACUUGUGGCUGGGGGUGAAAGGCCAAUCAAACCGGGAGAUAGCUGGUUCUCCCCGAAAGCUAUUUAGGUAGCGCCUCGUGAAUUCAUCUCCGGGGGUAGAGCACUGUUUCGGCAAGGGGGUCAUCCCGACUUACCAACCCGAUGCAAACUGCGAAUACCGGAGAAUGUUAUCACGGGAGACACACGGCGGGUGCUAACGUCCGUCGUGAAGAGGGAAACAACCCAGACCGCCAGCUAAGGUCCCAAAGUCAUGGUUAAGUGGGAAACGAUGUGGGAAGGCCCAGACAGCCAGGAUGUUGGCUUAGAAGCAGCCAUCAUUUAAAGAAAGCGUAAUAGCUCACUGGUCGAGUCGGCCUGCGCGGAAGAUGUAACGGGGCUAAACCAUGCACCGAAGCUGCGGCAGCGACACUAUGUGUUGUUGGGUAGGGGAGCGUUCUGUAAGCCUGUGAAGGUGGCCUGUGAGGGUUGCUGGAGGUAUCAGAAGUGCGAAUGCUGACAUAAGUAACGAUAAAGCGGGUGAAAAGCCCGCUCGCCGGAAGACCAAGGGUUCCUGUCCAACGUUAAUCGGGGCAGGGUGAGUCGACCCCUAAGGCGAGGCCGAAAGGCGUAGUCGAUGGGAAACAGGUUAAUAUUCCUGUACUUGGUGUUACUGCGAAGGGGGGACGGAGAAGGCUAUGUUGGCCGGGCGACGGUUGUCCCGGUUUAAGCGUGUAGGCUGGUUUUCCAGGCAAAUCCGGAAAACCAAGGCUGAGGCGUGAUGACGAGGCACUACGGUGCUGAAGCGACAAAUGCCCUGCUUCCAGGAAAAGCCUCUAAGCAUCAGGUAACAUCAAAUCGUACCCCAAACCGACACAGGUGGUCAGGUAGAGAAUACCAAGGCGCUUGAGAGAACUCGGGUGAAGGAACUAGGCAAAAUGGUGCCGUAACUUCGGGAGAAGGCACGCUGAUAUGUAGGUGAAGCGACUUGCUCGUGGAGCUGAAAUCAGUCGAAGAUACCAGCUGGCUGCAACUGUUUAUUAAAAACACAGCACUGUGCAAACACGAAAGUGGACGUAUACGGUGUGACGCCUGCCCGGUGCCGGAAGGUUAAUUGAUGGGGUUAGCGGCAACGCGAAGCUCUUGAUCGAAGCCCCGGUAAACGGCGGCCGUAACUAUAACGGUCCUAAGGUAGCGAAAUUCCUUGUCGGGUAAGUUCCGACCUGCACGAAUGGCGUAAUGAUGGCCAGGCUGUCUCCACCCGAGACUCAGUGAAAUUGAACUCGCUGUGAAGAUGCAGUGUACCCGCGGCAAGACGGAAAGACCCCGUGAACCUUUACUAUAGCUUGACACUGAACAUUGAGCCUUGAUGUGUAGGAUAGGUGGGAGGCUUUGAAGUGUGGACGCCAGUCUGCAUGGAGCCGACCUUGAAAUACCACCCUUUAAUGUUUGAUGUUCUAACGUUGGCCCGUAAUCCGGGUUGCGGACAGUGUCUGGUGGGUAGUUUGACUGGGGCGGUCUCCUCCUAAAGAGUAACGGAGGAGCACGAAGGUUGGCUAAUCCUGGUCGGACAUCAGGAGGUUAGUGCAAUGGCAUAAGCCAGCUUGACUGCGAGCGUGACGGCGCGAGCAGGUGCGAAAGCAGGUCAUAGUGAUCCGGUGGUUCUGAAUGGAAGGGCCAUCGCUCAACGGAUAAAAGGUACUCCGGGGAUAACAGGCUGAUACCGCCCAAGAGUUCAUAUCGACGGCGGUGUUUGGCACCUCGAUGUCGGCUCAUCACAUCCUGGGGCUGAAGUAGGUCCCAAGGGUAUGGCUGUUCGCCAUUUAAAGUGGUACGCGAGCUGGGUUUAGAACGUCGUGAGACAGUUCGGUCCCUAUCUGCCGUGGGCGCUGGAGAACUGAGGGGGGCUGCUCCUAGUACGAGAGGACCGGAGUGGACGCAUCACUGGUGUUCGGGUUGUCAUGCCAAUGGCACUGCCCGGUAGCUAAAUGCGGAAGAGAUAAGUGCUGAAAGCAUCUAAGCACGAAACUUGCCCCGAGAUGAGUUCUCCCUGAACAAAAGAG